AUAAUAAACAAAUAAUAAUAAUAAAAAAAUCAAAGAUUUCUCCCUUUUCACAACUAAACCUAAAAGCUUUAAGGGUUUAUUCCUUUCCCUUUUCUUCUCCUGGAAAAACCUUCGUCACACCACCGGACCACCACCAUUCUUGGUGGCCAGCGACGCACGAAAAUGAACCUUUCGACCCUGUUCCAAGGUACAGCUAAAGGGUGGCGCGUGUGGAGGUCGUUGUGGAGGUGGCUUGCGGUAGUCGAAAGUUAGUGUUACCCAUGUUGAAAAUUUAUUUAUUUUUUGGGCCAUUCGGGCCUAAGUUUUUAAUCAUUUUGGGCUUGUAUUUGGGUAAGGUUUGGUCUGUGAAAAACAGGCCAAUUGGGCCGUGUUUAUUUGGGUUUUGUAAUGUUGGGACUUUGGACCUUAUUUUGUUUUAUAGUUUAUGCCCGGGCAGAUUGGGCCUCUUACAA